UACGGAGGAUGCGAGCGUUAUCCGGACUUAUUGGGUUUAAAGGGUGCGUAGGCGGAUCGUUAAGUCAGUGGUCAAAUUGAGGGGCUCAACCCCUUCCCGCCAUUGAAACUGGCGAUCUUGAGUGGAAGAGAAGUAUGCGGAAUGCGUGGUGUAGCGGUGAAAUGCAUAGAUAUCACGCAGAACCCCGAUUGCGAAGGCAGCAUGCCGGCUUCCUACUGACGCUGAAGCACGAAAGCGUGGGGAUCGAACAGG
rnacentral:rRNA from 1 species